UUUGUGUGUGCCCAGUGAAUAGUGUCUUUAGGUCCAAGCCAAUAGUCAUUUUAAGUUAAACAAGACAAAAAUGGAAUUUUUUUGCUCCAUUAUUUUAAUCUGAUGAAGUCCUAAAAUAUAUCCAUAUAUAAAUAGCUAUUUAACCCUAAUUUAUGAGUGCCUAGAUUUAAACAUUCCUAUUUUGCCUGUAAUUGCAAUGAUUUACAUCAAAAGAAAGCAACCACCAAUCUCAACACGUUCUGGUUUUGACUGUACUAGUGAAAGCUUAGAGCUCCUACAUAGCCAAAAGAAAAACCUAGAUCACAAAACAUACAGUGCUCCUGCAAAACGCACUGCAGCCAAAUCUGACCUAUCAAUGGGGGAUUUAGUCAGUUUAUGUAUGAAUUAUGUCCCGAAAAUGACACCUAGGGCUUCCCUCCACGCAGAAUUAACUGAGAUCAGAAGGCUUAUUUGAUUAUUUACACAAUACCUUACCAAAGACGAUGUUACUGCCAUGGACAGAUCAGAUCUGGAAGCAGUUCAGCUAUUUCCACUGUAAUAGUAAAUAUUGCCAGACUUAACCUUGCUGUAACUCUAAAGCACACAGUGAGCUUCAUCAGCCCUGCACUGACUGCCUACACCUGGGAUGUGACACAGCACCACCUGAAUGAAAUCAAGCUCAUCAGUGUAAAACCCAUUCUCAAUACUACCACAGUACAAAAUGUCCUCCCCCAUUCCCUCAAUAAAAAGGGUCCUUUCUAGCAAUCAGCACAAGAGAUACCUUAUUUCUAAAUGUCCCUUGCAGUAGGGAACAUGUACAAAAUGUCUCCAGCUAUUUUCUUUCUCUCAGCAGUUCCCCAAAGAGCAAAAAGGCAGAUAUUACCACCAGCCCACUUACUCCGGUCCCUGCUGAUGAGGGUAAUUCAACAAACCAGUACCUGUGAGGAGGAGGCAUGGGGGUGCACAGGCACAAAACUAAGCCAAGGAACAGCCUGGAUGGGUUACUGCCUUCAUCUGAGGGAGGCACAAAGCUGCUUCACAUUCUAGUGCAGUAACACUAAAUGUUAACAUCUGGACUCAUAGUAAAAGGCGAGCUGCACCUCAUUUUUGUUCGUUAUUACCGCAUCUAAAUAUUACAAGAAAGCUUUUAUUAGUAAAAAGUGAAUAAUUUUCCACCUAGAAGUCACAAGCUUUAAGGCAAAGCACACACUAUGCCCUUCACUGACCGAAUCCUGUGGUCCUGACAGACACACCAACACUUGGGUGGGCUUUGGUCUGUUCCGUUUCGGCAGUGGUACCCAACCCAUCACCACCACCACCACAUGGGAAAGGCGAUAACCAAGCACCAGUCUCACUUUUUUCUGUCAAACACUGCAAAUACUACUACAAGAAAACAGCUUUGCCUCAGGUACCCCAUGGAGCCACCUCCCCAAGGCACAAGGCUUUGCCCUGGGGAAAGUGGUCAGCGUAGCGGGGUGUGUGUGUGAGGCGGCGGCCCUCACCUGCACCGCUUCGUGUCGCUGGGGGCCCGGCCAUCCCCCGGCCGUCCCGCUGCAGGCUCUGUCUUCCCAUCGUCCGCGAACAGGGAAC
ensembl:lncRNA